rnacentral:lncRNA from 1 species
CUCCUAUAUUUAUCCCUGCUACUUCACCCGAUGCCUGGUGUCAUAAAGUAGCUGCUUUUGGAGCUCUUUUUAAACGUGCUUUCGCUCAUAACACUCAUUAUAUGGAUCGAUACAAAGAGAUUGGACUUAUCAUCAGACAUGGCAUCUCUCACGGAUGCUCACCGGGGGUCCUUCUCGGAGUCCUGCAGCGGGUCAAAAAGCAGUUGAGUGGAGUCUCUCCUCCGCAAAAUAUUGCUUACAAUGGACUCCAAUCUACUACCGCUCUCGGGAAUUUAAGUGGAACGAUCGAGCGUCGUACUGGCC